CCAGACUCCUACGGGAGGCAGCAGUGAGGAAUAUUGGUCAAUGGGCGGAAGCCUGAACCAGCCAUGCCGCGUGAAGGACUAAGGCCCUACGGGUCGUAAACUUCUUUAGACGCAGAGCAAUAAGGUCCACGUGUGGACCGAUGAGAGUAUGCGUAGAAUAAGCAUCGGCUAACUCCGUGCCAGCAGCCGCGGUAAUACGGGGGAUGCGAGCGUUAUCCGGAUUCAUUGGGUUUAAAGGGUGCGUAGGCGGCCGAGUAAGUCAGCGGUGAAAGACCGGGGCUCAACCCUGGAAGUGCCGUUGAUACUGUUUGGCUGGAAUGAUCCCGCCGCGGGAGGAAUGAGUGGUGUAGCGGUGAAAUGCAUAGAUAUCACUCAGAACACCGACUGCGAAGGCAUCUCGCGAGGGGUCAAUUGACGCUGAGGCACGAAAGCGUGGGGAUCGAACAGGAUUAGAUACCCUGGUAGUCCACGCAGUAAACGAUAAUGGCUAACUGUCGGGCCUGCGGGUUCGGCGGCCAAG
rnacentral:rRNA from 1 species